ACGGAAGGCAGCAGUGGGGAAUAUUGCACAAUGGGCGCAAGCCUGAUGCAGCAACGCCGCGUGAGGGAAGACGGUCUUCGGAUUGUAAACCUUUGUCUUUGGUGAAGAAGAAAGUGACGGUAGCCAAGGAGGAAGCCACGGCUAACUACGUGCCAGCAGCCGCGGUAAUACGUAGGUGGCAAGCGUUGUCCGGAAUUACUGGGUGUAAAGGGAGCGCAGGCGGGAAAUCAAGUUGGAUGUGAAAUGUCGGGGCUUAACCCCGGAACUGCAUCCAAAACUGAUUUUCUUGAGUGAAGUAGAGGUAGGCGGAAUUCCGAGUGUAGCGGUGAAAUGCGUAGAUAUUCGGAGGAACACCAGUGGCGAAGGCGGCCUACUGGGCUUUAACUGACGCUGAGGCUCGAAAGUGUGGGGAGCAAACAGGAUUAGAUACCCUGGUA
rnacentral:rRNA from 1 species